GGCCGCCAUGACAGUAGGUAUCACAAGGGGAUCAACGCGCCACCACUACUGGAAGUGCAACUACACUCUCCACGCGAGGGCGGCUGGGAACAGGCUCUCAGUUAGGUCAUGUCUCUGCUAAGAGUGCUGGCUAAUCAUAGUUG
rnacentral:ribozyme from 1 species